rnacentral:misc_RNA from 1 species
CCUAGAGUUGUAGGCUUUGCCUGCUAUCUCUUACCCAUGUCUUUUGAGUACCUUACGUUUUCCUCGGUGGGUUCGCCCACCGAUUGGACAAAUUUAAACCCUUUGCAGUUGAAAUCAGCGUCUGAAAAAAACUUAAUAGUUA